UACGUAGGGUGCAAGCGUUGCCCGGAUUUAUUGGGCGUAAAGAGCGUGUAGGCGGCCUGAAAGGUCAGCUGUGAAAACUCGAGGCUCAACCUCGAGACGUCGGUUGAAACCAUCUGGCUAGAGUCCGGAAGAGGAGUGUGGAAUUCCCGGUGUAGCGGUGAAAUGCGCAGAUAUCGGGAAGAACACCCGUGGCGAAGGCGGCACUCUGGGACGGUACUGACGCUGAGACGCGAAAGCGUGGGGAGCGAACAGG
rnacentral:rRNA from 1 species